AGAGUUUGAUCAUGGCUCAGGACGAACGCUGGCGGCGUGCCUAAUACAUGCAAGUCGAGCGGAUGAUGAAGAAGCUUGCUUCUUCUGAUUUAGCGGCGGACGGGUGAGUAACACGUGGGCAACCUACCUUGUAGAUUGGGAUAACUCCGGGAAACCGGGGCUAAUACCGAAUAAUCCAUUCUCUCUCAUGAGAAAAUGUUAAAAGACGGUUUCGGCUGUCACUACGAGAUGGGCCCGCGGCGCAUUAGCUAGUUGGUAGGGUAACGGCCUACCAAGGCGACGAUGCGUAGCCGACCUGAGAGGGUGAUCGGCCACACUGGGACUGAGACACGGCCCAGACUCCUACGGGAGGCAGCAGUAGGGAAUCUUCCACAAUGGACGAAAGUCUGAUGGAGCAACGCCGCGUGAGUGAAGAAGGUUUUCGGAUCGUAAAACUCUGUUGUAAGGGAAGAACAAGUACGAGAGUAACUGCUCGUACCUUGACGGUACCUUAUUAGAAAGCCACGGCUAACUACGUGCCAGCAGCCGCGGUAAUACGUAGGUGGCAAGCGUUGUCCGGAAUUAUUGGGCGUAAAGCGCGCGCAGGCGGUCCUUUAAGUCUGAUGUGAAAGCCCACGGCUCAACCGUGGAAGGUCAUUGGAAACUGGGGGACUUGAGUACAGAAGAGGAAAGCGGAAUUCCAAGUGUAGCGGUGAAAUGCGUAGAGAUUUGGAGGAACACCAGUGGCGAAGGCGGCUUUCUGGUCUGUAACUGACGCUGAGGCGCGAAAGCGUGGGGAGCAAACAGGAUUAGAUACCCUAGUAGUCC
rnacentral:rRNA from 1 species